rnacentral:lncRNA from 1 species
GUACCAACUCAUUUCUUAAUCUAUGUAGGUUUACUGACUAUUCCUCAAGGCACUGGAUCAGCGUAUUUGGAGCAGCUGGCACAAGUCAUAAGGAAUAGAAGCUCCUUCAUUACACCUGCAAUUGGGAUUUCCCACUGCCUCUCAAAGUGGCAUCACUGAAGGGGACAGCUGUUACUGCUGUGGGAGAUCAAGAGCUCCUUCCAGUUGCAUCUUCUGUGUCAUCUGCAAAACCCCCAGUUACAAUCCCCAGUGUGCUGGCUGCAGAGAGGCCACCUUGUCAACUGGGAUCCCAUCAAGUGCUCUGAGCUCCUGUCCCUCCAUCAGAACUGAAGAGGUGCAGCAUGGCUCACAACUGCCUGCAGUGUAUCAAGUACCUAAUGUUUGUUUUCAACCUUCUCUUCUGGGUGAGUACACUUUUGGAACCGUGAAACGGUUUUUGUGUCUGUUUACUGAGGUGGAAGAUGAACUUGUUGCUG